rnacentral:rRNA from 1 species
GACGAACGCUGGCGGCGUGCCUAAUACAUGCCAGUAGAACGCUGAAGGAGGAGCUUGCUCUUCUGGAUGAGUUGCGAACGGGUGAGUAACGCGUAGGUAACCUGCCUGGUAGCGGGGGAUAACUAUUGGAAACGAUAGCUAAUACCGCAUAAUAGUAGAUGUUGCAUGAUAUUUACUUAAAAGGUGCAAUUGCACCACUACCAGAUGGACCUGCGUUGUAUUAGCUAGUUGGUGGGGUAACGGCUCACCAAGGCGACGAUACAUAGCCGACCUGAGAGGGUGAUCGGCCACACUGGGACUGAGACACGGCCCAGACUCCUACGGGAGGCAGCAGUAGGGAAUCUUCGGCAAUGGACGAAAGUCUGACCGAGCAACGCCGCGUGAGUGAAGAAGGGUUUCGGAUCGUAAAGCUCUGUUGUAAGAGAAGAACGAGUGUGAGAGUGGAAAGUUCACACUGUGACGGUAUCUUACCAGAAAGGGACGGCUAACUACGUG